UGGGAGGCAAAGGGAGGGGGCAGGAGAUUAGCAAGGAUGGUGGAAUUUGAUAGACAUCAUUAUCGAAAGUACAUGUCUGAAGACACGAAUUGUUGUCAACAUACUUUAUGUACAACUAGAGAUAUGGAAAAUUGUGCUGUAUAAGUGUAAGAAGAAUUGUAAUGCAUUCCACUGUCAUUUAAAAAAAAUUUUAAAGCAUUUCACCUUCAGAGUGUAAUAGGAAAAUCAUGUCACAAUCACUUAGAUGUGAGUAUAUUUCCAUUAAAAAUUAAGCAUAUCAGUAAAAAUUACAUUGUCAGGAAGGGACACACUCCUCCAUGGAAACACUGGCCAAAAAAACUAUCAAUUUUGUUACAAGUCUGUAAAAUAGAGGUUUAUAGCAUUCAAGCAAAUGUUUAAAUCAAGUUUUAAGGUAACUGAGAGCCAGUAGUUUACCUUAAUGGCUUUUAUCUUACCCUACCUCCUUUUUUUUCCUCCCCAGUCAGUCCCUUCUUUCAACAUGGUGGCCAGCAUUUCUGGUGUAGGUUUCUGUUUCUGAAGGAAGCAGAAUUGGUCUUGUUCCCAAGACAUAGAUGAUACAAGGGCAAGUUGCUAGACUAACAAAUGAGUCUGCGGCUAGACUAAAACAAUUCUGCAAGGGAAAAAAAGUGGGGGGGGCUGUAGUGAGAAAGAUUUCAUUAAAGUAUUGAUAGGUAAAUGAAUAAACCACUGUUGCUUGGGGCAAAAGAUUGUGUUGGGACAAACAAUAGACAGUUGAAAGGCUGGGAGGAAAAGCUACAGAAUGAAAUACUUUGGAGAAUAAUAUCUCUCAAUGUUCCCACAUAUACCAGGGACUCUAGAGCACCAUAUAGAUUGCCAGGACAGGGUGUUUUUCUAAGGCAAAACCCUGAGAAGAUGCUGAACUUUAACUUCUUGCUGCUCUUGACAACUUGCCCAAGCAGGAGGUGAAGUCUAAAUCAGCACUGCUGGGUACAUAUUGAAGGAAUGCACUAUACAGUCAUUCUGCAAAGAUGGGGAGAAUAUUUUUUUUUUGCACACAUUUUAAGGAAAGCUGUCAAAUGUGAAACCACUAGACAACUACUAAGCUAAUGAAGUAGAAACCCCAUUGACCACACAUAAAAAAUCGUUUUUACAAAAAUAGUUUUAAGUCAGCAGGCUGGGGCUGUAGCUCAUUGGUAAAGCACUUGCCUCGCUUGCCUGAGGCACUGGGUUCAAUCCUCAGCACCACAUAAAAAUAUAUUCUGUGUUCAUCUACAACUAAAUAUAUAUUUUUUAAAUAAAAUUUUAAAAAUAUAAAAGUCACUAAGCAAAUAGUUCCAGUCCACAACAUGCAACAGAGACAAAACUUGAGAGGAGAUUCCAAUUCACAGGUGCCAUAAUAAUAAUAUCCAGUUUAUUAAAAACAAUGCAUAAGGUAUAUACACAAAGAGACAAAGUAUAGCUCAUUCAUAUAUAAAAAAUUAACAGAAAUCCUGUGAAGUAUUAUAUUGAACUUACUAGACAAGGUCUUUAGUAUACAAAGUUAAAGGAAACUAUGAACUUGCUAAAGCAAGUAGGGAGAAUGAUCAAAUUGAAAUAUACCAAUAAAAUUAUAAAAAGGUGUCAAGUAGAAAUUAUAAUGUUGAUGAUUACAAUAAUUAGUAGCAUAUUAACAACCAAAAUAGUAGAAGUAACCAUAAUAAAAAUAGAAAAAGUUACUACAAAAGGUUCAGCAGAACAGAUGGAGAAAAGAACUUGAAGCUAGGUUAGUUAAAGUGAUACAGUCUAAUAUAAUUAGAAAAAGUGAACAGUAAGUAAAAGACGGGUCCAUCAGACCAAACAUACCAAUAUACAUAUUGCAUGAGUUCCAGAAGGAGAAAAAAUAUUUGAAGAAACCUGAAAAAUAUACCAAAUUUGAAGAAAGACACAAAUUCCUAUUAUUAGCGAGCUCAAGAAAUUCUUACUAAUAGAAAUUCAAGGAGACCCAGUGUUGAAGCACAUUUUAAGUCAAACAUAUACAAAGAAUUUUGAAAGCAGGAAAAGUAAUUCAAUAUGCAAAGAUUGCUUAAUAAGAUUAACAUCCAAUUGCUUUUUACAUACAAUCAAGGAAGAAGGCAUUUUAAAGUGCUGAAGGAAAUUGUCCACAGAAUUCUUUAUCUGGCAAAGUAGCCUUCAAAAGGAGUGAUAAAUUAAUACUUCCCUGAUAAGGAAUCCGUUGUUUAUAGGUCUGUGCUAUGAAACACAAAGGGAGUACUUCAAUCUAUAGUAGAAUGCAGUAAAAGCCUCGGAGGAAAAAAAAAAAAACAUUGGUAAAGAAAUAAUUAAAGAUGAAACAUUUUAAAAACAUGUAUAAUAUAAUUAUAAAUCUAUGUUAAAAGAUAAUAUGUUCAUGUAAUUUGUGACAACAAAAGAAUGUAUGUGAUUGUAUAGGAAACUAAGUUGACAUAAUUUGUGUAUUAAAUUCAUGCAGAAGAGGAAAUAAGGGAAUUAAAUUGUAUGUUAAAUAACUAAAAGCAGUAAUUGAAUAAUUGAGGAACACCAAAGAUAUUUAACAUAUAGAAGACAAUUUGCAGAAUAGCAGAAGUAUUUUCCUAUCAGUAAUCACUCUAAAUGUAAUUGCAUUUAAAGCCUCAAUAAAAAGCAAAGAUUGGCACAAUGGAUUUUUAAAAUAGGGCCAACCUUCCUGCUGAUUGUUAGAGAUUGCCUUUAGAUCCAGGCAUGAAUAGGUUGAAAGUGAAGGGACAGAAAAAGAUAUUCCAUGUAAAUAACCACCAAAGGAAGAUAAGCAAAUAGAAGCCAAUGCAGUGUACAAGCCAAUAAGCUCAAGCAACAUACAUAACAUUCCUCUAAAAAGAGCAGAAUAUGUAUUUUUCAAAGUUCACAUGAAAUAUUCUUCAGUAUAGACCAAAGUUGAGACAAUUCUCCAGUUUAAAAAAAUUGAAAUCAUACAAAUUAUCUUCUCCAAACCACAAGGGAAUGAAACUACAAAUGAAAGCUGGAAAACUAUGGAUUAGCCAAAACAUGUUGAUCAUAGAAG
rnacentral:lncRNA from 1 species